rnacentral:tRNA from 1 species
UGGCUCAGAUGGUAAAGCAUCUGCCUGCAAUGCAGGAGACCGGGGUUCAAUCCUUG